CUCUGGCACACAGCACUCGGCUGCCUCUCCAAGACAUCCAGUAAGAGGGUCACGCGAGCCGUGUCAGGAGCUGGCCCGAGGCUUCCACGGCUCACAAACCCUUUCCUGAGCAACCUUUGUGCUGCUGUCAACGCUUUUGGAAUGCAGAUGUAAUGACUGGAGCUCAAGCAGCCAUCAUGAAUCAGGAGGCAAUCUGCUAUAGAUGGAAGAGCUGCAAGACCUAAGGAACCUGGGUCUAGGAUGACACUGAUUCCACCAUACCAGCCGUACACUGCCUACCUCUUCACUUUUUCAUGAGAUGAAAACAUAUAAACCCUUAUCGUUCAAGCCAUUUUAUGCAGGGGUUAUCUACUGUAUGCAACCAAAUCUAGCCCUAAUACACCUUCUCAUCCCCAAAAGUCAAAACUGAACCUGUAUCUCUCCUUCCUUAAGACAGAUAAAAACAAAGCCUCUAUGUUUCAUUUCCUCUGUGUUUAUUUAAGUGUCCUAAACAUGGAACACUUAUUUCUUCACUCUCUCAUCCCUUCUCCCAACCUUAGGUUUUGCAAAGGUGGUUUAAAAUUUUUGUUUUCAGCCUAUUAUGUUUUGCCAUGCAGCAGUUCUCCUCUAUCUUAAAAACUGUUAACAAGUUAACACAAUAAAAACUCCGAUGCA